rnacentral:rRNA from 1 species
UGGGGAAUAUUGCACAAUGGAGGGAACCCUGAUGCAGCGACGCCGCGUGAGUGAUGAAGGAAUUUGUUUCGUAAAACUCUGUUCUAUGGGAAGAAAAGGACUGUACCAUAGGAGAAAGCUCCGGCUAAAUACGUGCCAGCAGCCGCGGUAAUACGUAUGGAGCGAGCGUUGUCCGGAAUUAUUGGGCGUAAAGGGUGCGCAGGCGGCUUUACAAGUUGGAUGUGAAAUAUUGUGGCUCAACCACAAACGUGCAUCCAAAACUGCAAAGCUUGAGUUAAGGAGAGGUAAGUGGAAUUCCUGGUGUAGCGGUGGAAUGCGUAGAUAUCAGGAGGAAUACCGGUGGCGAAGGCGACUUACUGGACUUAAACUGACGCUCAGGCACGAAAGCGUGGGGAGCAAACAGG